rnacentral:misc_RNA from 2 species
AUGCAUGUCUAAGACAGCAU